GAGGCUGCUCCUUGCGAUCGGCUCUGAGAGCAGGGGCGCCCCGGAGCAAAGCGCAACAAACGCUGGCGGUGAGGGGAGGGCAGGGAUUUGCCUCGCCCCGACAGGGGCAGCUCCUAGGGGGGCUCCCAAACCCGAGGGGCUCCGGGGGAAGCGCUGCAGGGAGAAGUGAAAGGGAGCCGGGGCUGCGGGAGGGAGUGCGGGACCCCCCAGCUCUGCCCCGGACCCCGUGGGUCGCGGAGCCCGCGGGCAGCGGGAGCCCCGGCCCCCUCCAGGGCAUUUUGGGGAAGAAUUAGAUGCUUUCUCCGCCCCUUCCCCUGGAGCACGGAGCGACGUGUCAGCCCCACAGGGUGCUUUCAGGCGCCGGAGAGGGCCGGGAGCGCGGACGGGCCGGUGAGACGUGGCACCGAGGCAUCUUCCCCAGCCACUUCUCUGAACCAAUGUCUUCAAAAUGAAGAGCAAGAGUGAAGGUGAGGAGGUCUGUACCUGCAAAGGGGAGAACGAAGAAUGCCUCGGAUAAAUAAAGAAACGCGAGGAACAAAAAUAAUAGGAAAUAUUUAUAACUCUGGUCUCUUAAAUAGGCCAGAAUUUGGACUGAAUUUAUGAAAAGUUACAAACCUACAUAGAAUUGAUUACAUUUGAAUCUAGAUUCAGGAUUUUUUUAUUUAAUACAUAAUAAAGAUAUCAGUACAUCUUUACCUCUGCUUUGGAUGAUAAUACAUUCUGUUGUCUUCAGCCUUGCACAGAUUUCUUAUAUAGGCUAAUUUAAUUUCACCCUAAUUUUUUUAGUUGUUAAACCCAAGACACCUCCUUACCUUAAGCUAGGGUGAGAAUUUAGCAAUCCAUUAGUUGGUUCCUCUCUGUAUGCGGAUCAUUAAUAGUGGAACCCUGUUUCUACGUCACCAGCAGUACGAGUGGGAUUUGGACAAAGGGUACAUAUAUAUGAACUUACCACUGACAGAUGUUGAAAGCACCUAAUAUAGAGCUAAAUUAGACUUCAGGCUUUUGUGCUGGUCUUUUAGGGGCUAUGUGGGUAGAGAUGAUACUUGGCAUAAAUACUACCUUCACAGAAUUAGAACAUCACAAUUUUUAGAAAAGAUCUUACCCAGCUGUGUAGCCCUCAUACUCAGGCAGUAUUUCUGUGGCACUCUGAUGAAGCAUUAGUAGCCCUAAAUCUAAUUUACCCCAUGAAAGCACACUGAACAAGCAGUGAGCAGCAGGCAAUUAGGAGCGCUGUGUGGGAGGGGACAGCAGCAAUGGAGGUUACAGGUCCAAUCCCCGUUAUAUUUUCCUCUGUUGCUUCUACACUCUGUUCAGUUGCCUGUAAAGAAAAAAUAAAAAUAAAUAAAUAAACUCGAUGGUAUGAUUUGCAACCAGUCUCUUUAGUCUGGAACUGUUAAAACAUAAUGACUAACAACUUGGAAGUUUCUACAGAAAUGCUACUAGACAAAGACAAAAGAGAAAAUAAAUUCAAGCUAAUUAAUGUUUAUCACUUAAAAACAGACACACACA